rnacentral:rRNA from 1 species
UACGAAGGGGGCUAGCGUUGUUCGGAAUCACUGGGCGUAAAGAGCUCGUAGGCGGUGUGUCACGUCGGCCGUGAAAACCUGCAGCUUAACUGUGGGCGUGCGGUCGAUACGGGCAUCACUGGAGUUCGGCAGGGGAGACUGGAAUUCCUGGUGUAGCGGUGAAAUGCGCAGAUAUCAGGAGGAACACCGGUGGCGAAGGCGGGUCUCUGGGCCGAUACUGACGCUGAGGAGCGAAAGCGUGGGGAGCAAACAGG